UGUAUAUGUAAUGUAUGCUGUAAAUCUAAUAGCACCUCCGUAUCGCUAUGUACAUUGUAAACAAGUAUAGAAUAUAAAAAUAUUGAGCAGUUUCUUAUGUCGACAACACUACGAGCGAGUCCUCGUUCGUAACUUAAAAGCUGCUCCUCUACCUGUGUGGUGGCGAGGCCCUGGGAGCAGCACAGCUCGUCCAGGCAGACCACACCGUUGUAAGUACGAGCCGUGUAUGAACUGUGCUCGCUGCGGGCGGACGAGCUGUCGCUGUGAAGACUCACGGGGUACUGGAACGACGGAAGGGGUCGUGAGGCUAUAUACAUAUCAUAUAGACAGAGAAGUGCGUCAAUUAACCUGAACUCAUUUUAUUUCUAGCUCCAAUAUUCCCCGUUCAUUUCCCUCACACUGCUCACCUUAUAGACCCUUCGUAUGAGACCCUCGAGUACACCGAACAGCACAAGUUUCCUCUCGUUGAUAGCGAGUUCCUGCGGUCGGAGGCGCCGACACAGGUCCCUCACUGUACUGCCGUAUGACAUGCCGGCGUACAUACGGAACAGAUCCGAUACUUUUGGAAGCUGACGAGCUGACCAUAGAUAUAAGUAAUAAGAUAUUUAAAAGGAAUUAAUUUUACCGGAAAUAAAAUCGAUAAAAAAUAUUGGUGUUACGAAUGAAUUGAACCUUCUUAUAGAUAAUAAAAAGUAACGUAUAAAAUAGUAACCACUAGCAAUACUAUCACCAUGUGACCAUUCAUAAAAGAAAAUCAUUAUAAAUAUGAAAUUCUAAAUGCUCACGUGAUCUCGCACAGAACUCCACACACUGUCUCUGGAGCCCCGCGCAACGAGUCAGUUGUCUCAACUUGGGCGUCGCACUGUACACCUGAUGUUGGAUACAAAAACCGUCUCAGAAUAGUGUUGCGUUUGAAAAACCGAGAAAAUGCGAAAAUAAAAAUAUAGACAAGAAUGCGAACGUGUUCUAAAUCUAUAUCAAUAAUUAAAAGACUAUUUUAUUAGUAAACUAAAUAUUUUUUAAAUCAAAUGUCACGUCUUCUUUACCUUUUUUUUGUAAAAAUCAAGUGAUAUUAAAGAAAUUUACAAAUUGAUAACACUUAUCCGUUUCUAGAACAUAUACAGAAUACUUGAUAUAAUAAAAACCUUCCUUAUAUUCUGAUAUAAAUAAAAUACAUUUCCUAUAAAUGUGUGGAAAUAAUAUGCUUCAAAAUCAAGACCGAUCGAGACUAAGUACAAACUCACAGCACAGUAUUGAAAGAUGGGGACGAGGGUGACCACUCCGUAGUAGACGAGGUUCUGGACACAGGCUCGCACCAGGCUGAUCUCGACGUCCGUGAGGGCUGCGAUUUUGGACACGUGGUUGAACCCGUCUAUAUGAGGCAGGAUCUAAAAGAGAAAAACUCAUUUUAUUAUGUAUACAGACAUUAACAUCUCGUCUCACCGUGAUCACGGUUGCUGCAAAGUAACCGAAACGUCGGGAGUAUGUAGUUUUUUUUAAAUAAUAAAAUAAUACUUAGAAAUCCGUAAAUAUUAGUUUAAUUUAAAUGAAUACUCGCGAAAGUCUUAGAUCUCAGUAGUAUAGAAUAUUGAUGUUAACAAAUGUAAGUGAGGAACAGCAAAUGCAAUUGUAACAGUGGUCAGCUGUCUGGAGAAGCUUGAACUAUAAACAUUAUAUAUAUUUUCAAUAUUAUGAACCUCAACAUAAUAUUGGGGAGGGUUAUAGUGAUCUGUGUCGAGCUAUGUUCAUCGCUUUGAGAAAAACGUUUGUAACCAGAAUCACGGUCGAGAUGCGUGCUGUGAAGCAAUUCAUGAGAUCGCACAACAAAUAUAAACUGAUGGCGAAGUUUGAAUAAUAAAUUUAGACGACGCUAAAUAUACGGAACAACGGACACGACAAAUAUUCUACACGAGAACGGGUUAUAUUAAAUAAUACUAGAAUCACUGUAUAUUUCCUUUGUUAUUCAAUGAGUAUUCCAUUUUCUAAUGACAUAAACACCAGGGGCGUAUCAACCGUAUCCAAGAUACGUGGCCCCCUAGCAACAAGACUCGGAACACUUGUGGAAGAAUUUCUGUAUCGAAAAUUUUCGGGGAAAUAAUAAAAGGCUGAACUAA